rnacentral:lncRNA from 1 species
AAAGGUUGCAUCAGCCCUUUAGCCAUUACCUGCCUCUUGAUGAAGCGUCAGAGCAGGUGUGCAUACACCUGCCAGCACAGAAAAACCUUAACGUAAAGUUGAAUACAAAAAGAAAGAGUCAAAGGUCAGAGAGGAGGGAGAAGGCUGUGCUAAACAAGGUGCUGGCAGUGUCAGGAGCUGGCCUCCUGCCUUCUGGGUUGAGAGAUAUCGAAUGCUGCUUUGCCAAGAGCUGCUUUCUUGAGCCCCUCCAAGGUUCUCCUAUUUGGACUCUGCUGCAGAUCCCUUGCCCUGGUCAGCAGCUACUUAAUCAGAAAGAUCAACUCAACAUUUUCCCUUGACCCAAUUAGAUUAUCGAAUCUCCAAUAAACGUCAUCUGUUAUCUCUGGAAUC